UACGUAGGGUGCAAGCGUUGUCCGGAAUUAUUGGGCGUAAAGAGCUCGUAGGCGGUUUGUCGCGUCGGCUGUGAAAACCCGGGGCUCAACCCCGGGCCUGCAGUCGAUACGGGCAAACUAGAGUGCGGUAGGGGAGACUGGAAUUCCUGGUGUAGCGGUGAAAUGCGCAGAUAUCAGGAGGAACACCGGUGGCGAAGGCGGGUCUCUGGGCCGUAACUGACGCUGAGAUGCGAAAGCGUGGGGAGCAAACAGG
rnacentral:rRNA from 1 species